AUUGGUAUCAAGGGCAGUCCGUCAAAUGUUCAAAUCCCUAAAACAAUAAAAAUAACAAGUUCUUAAAAAUAAAAGUAACAAUUUUAUGUGGUUUUAUCAUAAAAAAAUGACUUUAAAUUCCUCUCGGCAUCGCCCAUGUGCUCAAGUAAGGGUCUCAAAUUAAGUGGGAUACGCUAAAUUUUUCCGUCUGUAAAAUUUAGAAGAGAUUAUCAGACUAGCGAAAGUUACGGCCUGUUAUUCGGCAGAGACUUGAGCGAAUUUCAAAUAGGAUAACUAUGAGCGUAGAUGUUUAGGUGGCAAUAUGUUUGGACGCGGGUUCGACUCCCGUC
rnacentral:tmRNA from 1 species